UGUUUUUGCACAUCAAAUCAAUGUUUUCUAAGUUUGAAUGUAGAUUGCAAUACAAAAUGUUAUCAAUGAUAACAUGAGAUUAAAUGUAGAGCCUAUAUACUGUACGAUGGAGUGUAUGUACAGUAUAUAAAACACUUCUUUAGGUGUACAAAGAACUCUGGGAGGUGGUUUUAUUAGCUAUAAAUGCAAGUUGUAGUUUGAUUCUUUAGAGUAUGGAUCGGAUACUUUUAAUGUCAGAGGAAAUGUGAUGAUUCGUAUUUAUGUUUUUCACGUGUUACGACGCUACGUUUGCAAAGAGAUUCUCUGUUUGUAUCCAGAUCCUUUCACAGAGACGUUUACCAAAGCACUGUUUGAUCAACACUGAUUUUCUUCUGUUAGUGAAAAAGCUCUGGGAGUCAGAUGGGAGUCAGAUCUCUCCUGUCCCGACUUUCCCUGCUCAUCCCGAAACACUCAAACCUGGAAGAUUCCAAGAUGUGAACGAGCGGUUCAGGUUGAAUUUUUGGGACCAGCUGUAUCGUACUGUGUAAAUCUUUUAACUACCGCUUUACGCGCUUUUCUUUACGCACCCCUCAGCAUUCACAGAAGCAGCGAAGGACGCAGACGUCUGGACCGACGUGUCAACACUAAAGAGAUCCGACCAAAAGUGGAGCAGGAAUUGACUCAGAAUUAUGUUAGAAUGGAUUUAUAUGGAGCCUGGAGUGUGCCAGUGGAAUAAUGUGACUCGUAAAUUAAUUCAAAAUGUGUAUACAAACUAGCUGCUGUCCCAGGUAAUGACUCUGUGUAUUGUCUGGAAGGAUAAUGAGCGAACUUUAGAAGUGCCUUUUAUUUAAAAAUAGAUAUACUUUGUUAAAUGCUAUAUUACUGAUUCCUCCAGUCUCUUAAAUUCAGCUCCCAUAAUGAUCAUAAUUAUUAACCAACACCAUCGGUCAGUCUGACGGUGUGGAUUCAUUUCCCAGUGGGUGUUGGAGUGUUUGCUGUUCUUCUACCGAUCUAAUAUUUCUUUUUAGUCCUACCCACGUUCUCUCCAGAGCCUGUUUAUUGCACACUACCAGUUUAACCUUUUUUCUCUUUAAGCAGCACAGUUCAGGUUGUAAUCUGGAAAGUAUGGAGCGAAUGAGCAGCAGGUGAGCUAUAGCUGUGGCUAUCUAAUCAAUCUUUAAUUGAUAUACUUAAGAUGUAUAUUAUUUCACUGGGACACUUGAGACUCCAUAUUUACAGCUGUAGUUCCACGACACACGUGCAUACUAAUUUAUACUUUCCUACCACGUUGCACACAAAGGUAGAAAAGAGAACAGGUAGCUGUCAGGUGACGAUGCAGACUUUCAGUUGUUGUUUUUAAUUUAUCAUUUUGUGUACAUUUGGUUUGAUUUGAGCAGAAAUGUUUUCUAAUGAGAUGGAUAAGGAAAAUGUGUAUCUACUGAGGAAUAAUGCUGUUUAAUAUUAGGGGCAAUACAAAGUACGGUAAAUAAACACACUG
ensembl:lncRNA